CUUAAUGAUGAUUAAAAAAAUAUUCGCCGUUUACCCAACUGAAAGUUUUUGAUGUGCACUUUUUAAUCUGAAA
rnacentral:snoRNA from 1 species